UUAUAAAAAAAAAUUAAUUAAUAAGAAAUUAAAUGAGAUCAUUAAAUUUAAAUAAUUUGGCGGUAUUUUAAAUAGUUAGAGGAAUUUGUUAGUUAAAUGAUACUCCACGAAUGGAAUGUCCUGGUGAAGUUUUUAUGUAUUGUUGUAUAAAAAUUAUUUUAUAAGAAUUAUAAUUGAUAUAUUAAAUUAAAUUUGAAUUCAAAUCAAAAUGUAGAAUUAUUAGGAUUAAAUGAAUUACAGUUUAAUAUAAUAUUAGAAUUAUUUUUUUAAUUAAAAUAAUAAAAGAGGAUUUAAAAGUAAAUUUAAAUAAAUAUUUAAGUUGAAAUUUUAAUUAAAAUAUG
rnacentral:rRNA from 1 species